AGUGAACGCUGGCGGUAGGCCUAACACAUGCAAGUCGAACGGCAGCACAGUAAGAGCUUGCUCUUACGGGUGGCGAGUGGCGGACGAGUGAGGAAUACAUCGGAAUCUACUUUUUCGUGGGGGAUAACGUAGGGAAACUUACGCUAAUACCGCAUACGACCUACGGGUGAAAGCAGGGGAUCUUCGGACCUUGCGCGAUUGAAUGAGCCGAUGUCGGAUUAGCUAGUUGGCGGGGUAAAGGGCCACCAAGGCGACGAUCCGUAGCUGGUCUGAGAGGAUGACCAGCCACACUGGAACUGAGACACGGUCCAGACUCCUACGGGAGGCAGCAGUGGGGAAUAUUGGACAAUGGGCGCAAGCCUGAUCCAGCCAUACCGCGUGGGUGAAGAAGGCCUUCGGGUUGUAAAGCCCUUUUGUUGGGAAAGAAAAGCAGCAGGUUAAUACCCCGCUGUUCUGACGGUACCCAAAGAAUAAGCACCGGCUAACUUCGUG
rnacentral:rRNA from 1 species